CCUUCCCAGCCCUUCCCCGCCCCCCCUCCCCCCGCGGUACUGUACGGCCAAUGCAUCUGUCCACUCCGCCGCAGGUAGCUCAAGGGCAAGACCAGUUAUCACCCACAACUGGGUCCCCAGGGCUUAGCGCGGUACCCGGAACACAAAAACAUGCCCGAAAAUUGUUUAAGGGAACCGGAAUCCAGUCCCCCAAACUAACUUUCUAAAACAAACUAGGGGAGAAACUGCCGCGGCUGAACAGCUUUACACGUGAGACUCUUCAGAAUGAAGUGCAUUCUCACUGCAGCUCCUGAAACUCUCCCCGCCCCCCCCCCCCGCCACCACCUCCACCCCCGAUAUCUGAGUUGACAGAUUACACAGCCAGCACAAAACCUGGAAGCAAAUAUCACACACCCGGUUUAUUGACCUUGGCUCGUCUAGAGAUGAGGGCGCAAGCUGCAUUUCUGUCUUCGGCGCUGAGUGGGGCCACUUUUACAGUAAAAGAUGUGCACCAGGAGCAGAGUAGGAGCCAGGCACAAGAAGCAUCAGUUUGGGAGAGGAAGGCCGAAUGAGUCCAAGGAACGUCCUGUACUUCCCACUUGGAGCGAAGGGGGAGCAGAAACCCCCCCAGGGGCACGAGCCAGGUCAGCUGCUGUCACUGGAGAGACAUGGCUGGGCAGCUGGCACCACAGGUCUGGCAGAACAGCAGCCGCUAACCCCCAGUUUGUAUCCAUGGCAGUGCUCCUUCGCUCUGUGUAAUGUCUGCCCGUAACCCAUCCACCAUCACUGGCUCCGUUUACCUCCUCUCAUAACCGCACCUCUCCCCUGUCGGAUGAAAGGCUCACUCCCUUGGAUAGCUGUUAAAAUGGCUUCCUUGUUAAGGGAAUGUGUCUUUGUUUAGCCCUUAUUAUCAAAGGAUUUUUUCCUUGAUGUUCUAAAGUUUCAGGAACACAGUUCGCCACUUCCGUGACAUAAUGUGUUCUUGUCCCACUGGUGCACUGCCGUCUGAGUUACGUCGCCCAUGACCUAUUACAUAGCUCCAGAUGGUUGCUUUAAGAUACGAAUCGGGCCAUAUCCCACCCAUCGCUUGGAAAUGUUGUGAUCUUUAGUUGUAUUGCUCUACCCUAUUGCCAACAACUUGUCAGUUUA